rnacentral:rRNA from 1 species
GAAAGAGGGUGCCUGCGGAGACAAGGAGAAAACGAUGAAGAAGGUGGUCAGGUGCUGUGUUAGGUACUGUGGAGGACCAACGAUGUGCUACCAUCAUCGGGCGCGACAACAGGGCGAAGGUUAGUUAAACGCGGAGUUUGGUUCCCCUGUCCCUCCCCCCUCUUACCAUCGACACCCCUUCUCCCCCGCUGCUGCGGCACGCCACUCGUCCCCCGUAUGUACGGUGAAACAAAGACGGCCUCAACUACUGCCCUGACGUCUUUACGACGUAGGGCGGUACCUAAAACGACCUCGACCGUAAAACGUUACGAUCUUGCUACCUGCCACAAUAGUCGUUGCCCUCAACAAGAAAAUGUCCUUGGUUGGAUUAAAGAAAAACGAUGAUGAUUGAAGCAAAAAACGACCUUGAACGUAGGCAAAAACGAUGGUGGCCGAGUAAAAAAAGGACCUUGGUCGACCAGAAAAACGAUGGUAGUAAAAACCUAAAACGACCUUGGUCGAUAAGAAAACGAUGGUGGCCGAAACAUAAAACGACCUUGAUCGUAGGUAAAAACGAUGUUGACAUACCACAAACACGAUCUAGGCAUAUAAAAACGAUGGUGGCAGAUAAAUAAAACGACCUUGGCCGGGUCAAAAAACGAUGGUGGCCGAAACCGCCGUUCAGUGUGGUAGAGCGGUAAUUUCGACGUUGACACUCAGCCGUAGUGGCCGCUCCUUGUCAAACGCCGGUUGCGGUACCACCCCGAUGGUACCUACGUCCUUUCCGCUGCUUUUUCGACGAUACCCAGUUGCUGAAAAACAACGCUAACUGCUGUCGCUCGCAGCCGCCGCUCGAAGAGGCCGCUCGUAUCCUCCGUUCCUUUUGGCCGCUCCUGCCCUUGCGCGCAACUCCCUGCGCCCUCCUAUGUACCCUCCCCCGUACAAAAAGAAUCACCCCUACGCUUCCAACUCUCUCUGCUACCUUUUGUUUAUCUACCUUGCCAAUGUGCGAGACCCUAGGUUCCCGACGCGCCGCUGGCCGGGUUAAACCCGGCCAGCUAGCCGCGCAUAGUCAGCGGUAUAAUUUACUACACGAUGAAACACAGUACGUACUGUUAUUUACAUCAGUAGAUACUAUGGUUGUAUACUAUAAUACAUAAUACCUACAUCAUAGUAUGUAAUUAUAGUAUACGUACUAUUAUCAUAUACUAUGAGUGGUAAUUUUGGUCGGAAUUGAACAAGAGACAAAGGAUACGACGUCCUCUACGAUCACUACAAGUGAAAACUCAACCAUUUUAAAGACCGGCGUCUUCCUUUAGUAAAACCGCACCACUCCACUCUAAACGAACCGACAAUAUCUAAACUUGACAUACAACUAGAGAAAAUACCCGAUAAAAUCGUUAACUUACAAAGACAAAAGUUGUCUCAAACAAAGUGAGAAUCAUUACGUCGUCAUCUUGAACGACUGACACACUGACUCUAAAUAUCAGAUUAAGUCGACCACUAAACGUAUGUCUUUAAUUCGUCCCCAUUUAACUAUGAAGAGUUCCUGAAUAAAACCACGAAUAUGGCAUCAAUCGGUCAGGAGACGAAAAUAUCAUAACAAACAUUACGAGACGUUUCAGCAGCAGCGCCAGUGGCGACGACACCCUUCGACGGUGGCUACUGGUAUAGGGUGGUUCUCGGGAUAAAGAGACGAUACGGACAUAACGAAUCUAACAUUCAACAAACAAGUUAAUUAACUGUACUUCGUGGAUGACGAGACAAUCAUCGACAAUUAUUGGUGAAGACGUCAUACACAUUGAUCCCCUGUGAUCGUUGAAGAUAUCUCAUCUAGUUUAAUGUACGUAAACCUAUGAGAAAUCGAUUGAUCGUGUUGUCCUCAGCUACCCAAGCUGGCACGACUAGACAAGGUACAUUUGUCACGGAUAGACGAACUAUUAGACUAUCCAGCGCCGACCGGAGAACCAUACAUAGGUAUGUUAGAUAGAUACAGGAUACCACGCCUACAACGUUAACAGUAUUUCAACAUGACGGAAAAGAAGGGCACUUUAUUUUUUCAACAUGGAGAAGAAAUAAGGAACGGUAUUUUAUGAAGCGUUUCAUAAUGAACUACCAUUAAAUUAAUCCUUAAUGUUGCGAGGACAGCACACAAUAAACUUACAAAAUGGUAUAAAACAAAAGGCAAAGUGUCCUAUAUAUAACCUAAUUACUGGACUUGUAUCUACCACCUCCACGAAGACGAUGGUGUGACGGUGAUGACGGUUACGAGGGUGAAUGACGAUCGUGGUGAUAAUGUUUACGACGGUGAAUGAUGACCGUGAUUACAAUGGUGGUCGUGGUGGUGGUGGUGGUGGUGAUGGAUUUAAAGUCACUCUACCCAGGAAGUUCUAGAUGGUGGUGGUGGUGGUGGUGAUGAUCGAUUUGAAGUCAUGUUACAAACACGUUAUUUUCAUCGUGUAUGGAUGUUACAAACUUCGUUUUUAAGUAAUAAUAUCUUAGUAGACGUUAUUUGAUCUCCUUCAUACCAACUAUCCUUCGUUAUCGAAGUAAAAGAGUGUUAUUUAUGUUUUCUGUUUAACCUAUGUAUUUUUAAACUAACGCUCGUAUUUUUGAACGUGAAAUACUUAUUUGAUUUUAAAAGUAUACAUGUCUUCGUUCCGUAGUUGUUUCAACACGAAGCGUUUCUUUAAUUCUAAAGUUAACAUACCUUCGUUCCGUAGCUGUUAUUUUUCGGAUAAACAAUUGACUUCAUACCGUUCAACAUCCAUCGUACUUGGAUACCGUCGAGAUCUAAUGAUAAGAACCAACCUUUUAUUUUUCCAACCUUUACAUUUUGUAUGAUUAUAACAACGGUUGUUCUGC